rnacentral:rRNA from 1 species
UGGGGAAUUUUGGACAAUGGGGGAAACCCUGAUCCAGCCAUCCCGCGUGUGCGAUGAAGGCCUUCGGGUUGUAAAGCACUUUUGGCAGGAACGACACGUCAUGGGUUAAUACCCCGUGCAACUGACGGUCCCUGCAGAAUAAGCACCGGCUAACUACGUGCCAGCAGCCGCGGUAAUACGUAGGGUGCAAGCGUUAAUCGGAAUUACUGGGCGUAAAGCGUGCGCAGGCGGUUCGGAAAGAAAGAUGUGAAAUCCCAGAGCUCAACUUUGGAACUGCAUUUUUAACUACCGGGCUAGAGUGUGUCAGAGGGAGGUGGAAUUCCGCGUGUAGCAGUGAAAUGCGUAGAUAUGCGGAGGAACACCGAUGGCGAAGGCAGCCUCCUGGGAUAACACUGACGCUCAUGCACGAAAGCGUGGGGAGCAAACAGG